rnacentral:rRNA from 1 species
CCUACGGGAGGCAGCAGUGGGGAAUAUUGGACAAUGGGCGCAAGCCUGAUCCAGCCAUGCCGCGUGGAUGAUGAAGGCCCUAGGGUUGUAAAGUCCUUUUAACGGGGAAGAUAAUGACGGUACCCGUAGAAUAAGCCCCGGCUAACUUCGUGCCAGCAGCCGCGGUAAUACGAAGGGGGCUAGCGUUGCUCGGAAUUACUGGGCGUAAAGCGCACGUAGGCGGGUUCUUAAGUCGGUGGUGAAAUCCUGGAGCUCAACUCCAGAACUGCCUUCGAAACUGGGAAUCUUGAGUCCGGGAGAGGUGAGUGGAACUGCGAGUGUAGAGGUGAAAUUCGUAGAUAUUCGCAAGAACACCAGUGGCGAAGGCGGCUCACUGGCCCGGUACUGACGCUGAGGUGCGAAAGCGUGGGGAGCAAACAGGAUUAGAUACCCCGGUAGUCCACGCCGUAAACGAUGAAUGCUAGCCGUUGGCGAGCUUGCUCGUCAGUGGCGCACGCUACGUACUUAACGUCUACUUCCGUCCGUCGGGUAGGUACGGUCGCGAAGAAUUAAACUACAAUAGAUAGACGGCGNGAGACGUCGCCGACGACGACGACGAGGGAGUAGG